GUUUGAUCCUGGCUCAGGAUGAACGCUAGCGACAGGCCUAACACAUGCAAGUCGAGGGGCAGCACGAGGUAGCAAUACUUUGGUGGCGACCGGCGCACGGGUGCGUAACACGUAUGCAAUCUACCGCUAAGAGGGGGAUAACCCGGAGAAAUCCGGACUAAUACCGCAUAAUACUGUGAAUCUGCAUGGAUUUACAGUUAAACAUUUAUGGCUUAGCGAUGAGCAUGCGCAUGAUUAGCUAGUUGGUGAGGUAACGGCUCACCAAGGCAACGAUCAUUAGGGGUUCUGAGAGGAAGGUCCCCCACACUGGUACUGAGACACGGACCAGACUCCUACGGGAGGCAGCAGUGAGGAAUAUUGGUCAAUGGUCGAGAGACUGAACCAGCCAAGUCGCGUGAAGGAAGACUGCCCUAUGGGUUGUAAACUUCUUUUGUGAAGGAAUAAAGUGCGCCACGUGUGGUGUUUUGUAUGUACUUUACGAAUAAGCAUCGGCUAACUCCGUGCCAGCAGCCGCGGUAAUACGGAGGAUGCGAGCGUUAUCCGGAUUUAUUGGGUUUAAAGGGUGCGUAGGCGGGUCAGAAAGUCAGAGGUGAAAGUUUGCAGCUCAACUGUAAAAUUGCCUUUGAAACUUCUGGUCUUGAGUUUACUGGAGGUAAGCGGAAUGUGUUGUGUAGCGGUGAAAUGCAUAGAUAUGACACAGAACCCCGAUUGCGAAGGCAGCUUACUAUAGUACGACUGACGCUGAGGCACGAAAGCGUGGGUAUCAAACAGGAUUAGAUACCCUGGUAGUCCACGCAGUAAACGAUGAAUACUAACUGUUUGCGAUAUACAGUAAGCGGUACAGCGAAAGCGUUAAGUAUUCCACCUGGGGAGUACGUUCGCAAGAAUGAAAC
rnacentral:rRNA from 1 species